GCAGCAAUUUGAUGCCAUACACAUAUAUAUAUUAAAGUAACAGUUACCAUUACAAACCAAACAAUUAAAAUAAAUGAUUAAAACAACAAUUAAAAUCAUGCCAUCCAAAUCAUAAUCUUGGGCCGUUCCAUUUGUCAAUCACUUUGACUCAUAGAUAUUUCACUGCUCCAAUUACUUGUCAAAAGCUUGGUCCCAAAGCCACAUCUUAAGUUUUUUCCUAAAGGUCAGGAGAGAGGGGGCUGGUUUGAUUUUGUUGGGGAGGGAGUUCCAUAGAUGAGGGGCAACCACUGACAAAGCCCUGCCUCUCGUCCCCACCAGUCAUGCCUGUGAAGGAGGAGCUACCGAGAACAGGGCCUCCCCGGAUGAUCUUAACCUCUGAGAUGGUUCAUCGAGGGGGAUCUGUUUGGACAGAGACAUCUAUACAACUGUAUGCUGUCAGAAUACCAGAAGCUGUUGGAAGCAAAUGAGAUGUUUAACCUCGCUCUCUGUAACAAUGAUAAAAUGCAUUUUUCUUUAGG